AUUGAACGCUGGCGGCGUGCCUAAUACAUGCAAGUCGAGCGCAGGAAACCGUCUGAACCCUUCGGGGGGACGGCGGUGGAAUGAGCGGCGGACGGGUGAGUAACACGUAAAGAACCUGCCCACGGGUCUGGGAUAACCACGAGAAAUCGGUGCUAAUACCGGACGGGACAACGGACCGCAUUGUCCGAGGAAGAAAGGCGCUCCGGAGCGCCCCGGGGAUUGCUUUGCGGUGCAUUAGCUAGUUGGUGGGGUAACGGCCCACCCAGGCGACGAUGCAUAGCCGAGCUGAGAGGGUGAUCUGCCACACUGGGACUGAGACACGGCCCAGACUCCUACGGGAGGCAGCAGUAGGGAAUCUUCCACAAUGGACGAAAGUCUGAUGGAGCAACGCCGCGUGAACGAUGAAGGCCCUCGGGUCGUAAAGUUCUGUUGUAAGGGAAGAACAAGUGCCGCAGGCAAUGGCAGCACCUUGACGGUACCUUGCGAGAAAGCCACGGCUAACUACGUGCCAGCCGCCGCGGUAAAAC
rnacentral:rRNA from 1 species